rnacentral:rRNA from 1 species
GACGAACGCUGGCGGCGUGCUUAACACAUGCAAGUCGAACGAUGAUCAGGAGCUUGCUCCUGUGAUUAGUGGCGAACGGGUGAGUAACACGUGAGUAACCUGCCCCUGACUCUGGGAUAAGCGUUGGAAACGCCGUCUAAUACUGGAUAUGAUCACUGGCCGCAUGGUCCGGUGGUGGAAAGAUUUUUUGGUUGGGGAUGGACUCGCGGCCUAUCAGCUUGUUGGUGGGGUAAUGGCUCACCAAGGCGACGACGGGUAGCCGGCCUGAGAGGGUGACCGGCCACACUGGGACUGAGACACGGCCCAGACUCCUACGGGAGGCAGCAGUGGGGAAUAUUGCACAAUGGGCGAAAGCCUGAUGCAGCAACGCCGCGUGAGGGAUGACGGCCUUCGGGUUGUAAACCGCUUUUAGUAGGGAAGAAGCGAAAGUGACGGUACCUGCAGAAAAAGCACCGGCUAACUACGUG